GCAGGUUGGUUGCCCACACUGCCAUUGAAGAGCAAGAGUGAAAAGCCAAACAAGGAAGCAGUUCAUGAUGUAUAGGCAUAGACAGUCAGCACACAGAACCAAAACAGGAUCCAAGUUACUGAGAUCUCCAGAUUACUGAAGAAGAGGAGAGGAAACCUCUGAACAAGGAGGGAAAAGAAGUACCAGCAAGGAGUUGUAGAUGUGGCAAUUUACCAGGUGGAUGAAUGU